AUUGAACGCUGGCGGCAGGCCUAACACAUGCAAGUCGAACGAGUGGCGGACGGGUGAGUAAUGUCUGGGAAACUGCCUGAUGGAGGGGGAUAACUACUGGAAACGGUAGCUAAUACCGCAUACCAUCGGAUGUGCCCAGAUGGGAUUAGCUAGUAGGUGGGGUAAAGGCUCACCUAGGCGACGAUCCCUAGCUGGUCUGAGAGGAUGACAAGCCCAACUGGAUCUAGGGCACGGUCAAGAGUCCUAAGGCGGGCAGAGGUGAGGAAUAUUGCACAAUGGGCGGAAGCCUGAUACAACCAUGCCGCGUGUAUGAAGAAAGCCUUCGGGGUGUAAAAUACUUUCAGCGGGGAGGCGUUACCCGAAGAAGAAACACCGGCUAACUCCGUACCAGCAGCCCCGGUAAUUC
rnacentral:rRNA from 1 species